rnacentral:rRNA from 1 species
AAUCAACGCUGGCGGCGUGCCUCAGACAUGCAAGUCGAACGCGAAAGGUUCCUUCGGGAACCGAGUAGAGUGGCGCACGGGUGAGUAACACGUAGGUAAUUUGCCUUUGGGUGGGGAAUAACAGCCGGAAACGGCUGCUAAUACCGCAUAAUGCAGCGGCUCGACAUCGAGACAGUUGUUAAAGCGGGGGAUCGCAAGACCUCGCGCCUAAAGAGAAGCCUGCGGCAGAUUAGCUAGUUGGUAGGGUAAUGGCCUACCAAGGCGACGAUCUGUAACCGGCCUGAGAGGGCGGUCGGUCACACUGACACUGACAUACGGGUCAGACUCCUACGGGAGGCAGCAGUCGGGAAUUUUGGGCAAUGGGCGAAAGCCUGACCCAGCAACGCCGCGUGAAGGAUGAAAUCCCUCGGGAUGUAAACUUCGCAAGAAUAGGAAGAAUAAAUG